GGAGAGAUGGCUGAGCGGUUCAAAGCAUGGCACUUGAAAUGUUACGAAGGGUUUAUAACCUUUCCGUGGGUUCGAAUCCCACUCUCUCCG
rnacentral:tRNA from 1 species